rnacentral:rRNA from 1 species
GAUGAACGCUGGCGGCGCGCCUAAUACAUGCAAGUCGAGCGAGAAGACGUAGCAAUACGUUUGUAAAGCGGCGAACGGGUGAGGAAUACAUGGGUAACCUACCCUAGAGUGGGGAAUAACUAGCCGAAAGGUUAGCUAAUACCGCGUACGCUCCUUGGACUUCGGUUCAGGGAGGAAAGCGAUGCCGAGGGUAUCGCGCUCUUGGAUGGGCUCAUGUCCUAUCAGCUUGNGGUGAGGUAACGGCUCACCAAGGCUUCGACGGGUAGCUGGUCUGAGAGGACGAUCAGCCACACUGGCACUGCGACACGGGCCAG